AAGUCGUAACAAGGUUUCCGUAGGUGAACCUGCGGAAGGAUCAUUAGUGAAUCUUUCAAAGUCGGCUCCGUCCGUUCUGUGCUGGUGGAGACACAUGUGCACGUUCGGCGAGUCGCAAACCCACACACCUGUGCAUCUAUGACUCUGAGUGCCGCUUUGCAUGGCCUUGACGGGCCUGGCGCUCGAGUAUUUUCACACACUCUUGAAUGUAAUGGAAUGUCAUGUUGUGCGUAAUGUACAAAAGAAACAACUUUCAACAACGGAUCUCUUGGCUCUCGCAUCGAUGAAGAACGCAGCGAAAUGCGAUAAGUAAUGUGAAUUGCAGAAUUCAGUGAAUCAUCGAAUCUUUGAACGCACCUUGCACCCUUUGGUAUGCCAAAGGGUACACCCGUUUGAGUGUCAUUGUAAUCUCACUACGAUUGACUUUGUCGUCUUUCUGUAUGUGGACUUGGAUGUUGUCGUGGAUAUCCACGACUCGUCUGAAAUGCUUGAGUGUACCCUGCUUUGCGGCGUAUUCGGUGUGAUACAUCUUCACCGGAGUUGAUCCUUUUGGGUCGCGUCUAUACAAGUGUGGCUCUAUGCUUCCAACCGUCUUCCAGGAGACAUGUUUGACAAUUUGACCUCAAAUCGGGUGGGACUACCCGCUGAACUUAA
rnacentral:rRNA from 1 species